AGUUUGAUCCUGGCUCAGGAUGAACGCUAGCGGCAGGCCUAAUACAUGCAAGUCGAACGGUAACAUGAGUAGCAAUACUUGAUGACGAGUGGCGCACGGGUGCGUAACGCGUAUGCAAUCUACCUUUAACUGGUGAAUAGCCCGAAGAAAUUCGGAUUAAUACACCAUAAUAUAUUGAUGUGGCAUCACAUUGAUAUUAAAACUCCGGUGGUUAGAGAUGAGCAUGCGUGACAUUAGCUAGUUGGUGAGGUAAUGGCUCACCAAGGCUACGAUGUCUAGGGGAUCUGAGAGGAUUAACCCCCACACUGGUACUGAGACAGGGACCAGACUCCUACGGGAGGCAGCAGUAAGGAAUAUUGGACAAUGGUCGCAAGACUGAUCCAGCCAUGCCGCGUGCAGGAUGACGGCCCUAUGGGUUGUAAACUGCUUUUAUACGGGAAAAAACCCCUCUACGUGUAGAGGGCUGAUUGUACUGUAAGAAUAAGGAUCGGCUAACUCCGUGCCAGCAGCCGCGGUAAUACGGAGGAUCCAAGCGUUAUCCGGAUUCAUUGGGUUUAAAGGGUGCGUAGGCGGAAUGAUAAGUCAGUGGUGAAAGCCCUCAGCUUAACUGAGGAACUGCCAUUGAUACUGUCAAUCUUGAGUACAUUUGAUGUGGGCGGAAUGUGUCAUGUAGCGGUGAAAUGCUUAGAUAUGACACAGAACACCGAUUGCGA
rnacentral:rRNA from 1 species